CCCUGGGCUAUUGAAAUAUUGAGGGUUAUUCAAAAGUUAUCUCCUUUCAUGAAGUCUGGGCUCAAAUUGGGUGAUUAGGGAUAUCUCCAUGGUGUUUAUGAAUUACAAAAAAUGCCUUGUGUCAUUAGAAAAAUUUGUUUGAAGAUGUACAUCAUUUUUUGUUCUUACAUUUGCAUCAUCCUCCAUUUUAUUUUAUUUUAAAUCAAAUAUCUCACAGUAAUGCAUAGAUUAAUUUUAUUUGGGUUCAUUUG
rnacentral:lncRNA from 1 species